AAGUUUUUCUCAAAUUAUUGGCUGGGAGCCCUGGUUGUCACUAAACUAGAGCUUCGCUUCACGCGGAAAGCCACGAUGACGAGUUCAUCGCACGGUCCUGAGCGGGAAACUACUCACUAGAGAUCCGUCUCUGCGAGCCUGAUGACCGUUCCUAGUUCUUCCUUGUGGAGUCUAGGAGGGGCCGUGCGCCGGCUGAGUGGU